CACGUGUAGCGGUGAAAUGCGUAGAGAUGUGGAGGAACACCAGUGGCGAAGGCGACUCUCUGGUCUGUAACUGACGCUGAGGAGCGAAAGCGUGGGGAGCGAACAGGAUUAGAUACCCUGGUAGUCCACGCCGUAAACGAUGAGUGCUAAGUGUUAGGGGGUUUCCGCCCCUUAGUGCUGCAGCUAACGCAUUAAGCACUCCGCCUGGGGAGUACGGUCGCAAGACUGAAACUCAAAGGAAUUGACGGGGGCCCGCACAAGCGGUGGAGCAUGUGGUUUAAUUCGAAGCAACGCGAAGAACCUUACCAGGUCUUGACAUCCUCUGACAAUCCUAGAGAUAGGACGUCCCCUUCGGGGGCAGAGUGACAGGUGGUGCAUGGUUGUCGUCAGCUCGUGUCGUGAGAUGUUGGGUUAAGUCCCGCAACGAGCGCAACCCUUGAUCUUAGUUGCCAGCAUUCAGUUGGGCACUCUAAGGUGACUGCCGGUGACAAACCGGAGGAAGGUGGGGAUGACGUCAAAUCAUCAUGCCCCUUAUGACCUGGGCUACACACGUGCUACAAUGGACAGAACAA
rnacentral:rRNA from 2 species